UGAAUGGAAGGCCCGUGUGCGUGUUGGUUUCUGGAAUGAAAGCCGCGGUCUGGCUUCUCUGUAAUUGCUGUCAGGUCUUAAGCAAUCCUCUGUUCAGAAAUCUCCUUAUAAUGCAGCCGUGAAAAUUGUUACCAAGCAACCAAGCGGUCCAGAGCGCCGAGCAUCCAGGAGUGGCUGGCGGGAAGACCCUCCCGGCAGGGUGGCGGCCGUGCCUGCCCCAAAGUGCCACGUGAUGUCACCUGCUCCACGGCCAGCAGCAGAGUCGGAACAAUGGGUCUUCGUGGGCAGCCCGUCCCUCCCGUGGAGCGCGUGGCCGAGGAGGGGUCCGAGGAAGGGCUGUAGGUGAAAAUCCAUCGUUAGGAGGAGGCGCAUCCGAGGAAGGGCUCCUGGGCUCCUGAGGACCCCGGAGCCUCCCUCCAUCUGCUCUCUCCUCCGCACUCCCAGGCGUCUCUAACCUGCAGGCCUCCUGGGGGACGACGUGUUUGCUUUGGCCCAUAAAUCAGUCCCACGGAUCACUUCGGGAAUCGUUAGGCUUUAUCAUGACGCGUUGCCACCUUUGAGGGAAUAAUUGCCCAGUUUGGCCAACUUGGGACCUGCUUCCUUCAUCUUAAUUUCCUCUCUGGGGAUGCCCUAAUUAGUAUUUACUUUCACUUAAAAGAGAGAAAUUUCUUCUGAUGCAAUCAACAGUUUCCCUUGCGUGCCAAGCUUGUUUUAUGAUAUUAAGCAUUUAAAUAAAAAAUUAUAAACGUACCGUGAAAUGCUGAUGGGG
rnacentral:lncRNA from 1 species